rnacentral:rRNA from 1 species
GACGAACGCUGGCGGCGUGCCUAAUACAUGCAAGUAGAACGCUGAAGGAGGAGCUUGCUUCUCUGGAUGAGUUGCGAACGGGUGAGUAACGCGUAGGUAACCUGCCUGGUAGCGGGGGAUAACUAUUGGAAACGAUAGCUAAUACCGCAUAACAGUAGAUAUCGCAUGAUAUCUACUUGAAAGGUGCAAUUGCAUCACUACCAGAUGGACCUGCGUUGUAUUAGCUAGUUGGUGAGGUAACGGCUCACCAAGGCGACGAUACAUAGCCGACCUGAGAGGGGGAUCGGCCACCCUGGGACUGAGACACGGCCCAGACUCCUGCGGGAGGCAGCAGUAGGGAAUCUUCGGCAAUGGACGGAAGUCUGACCGAGCAACGCCGCGUGAGUGAAGAAGGGUGUCGGAUCGUAAAGCUCUGUUGUAAGAGAAGAACGAGUGUGAGAGUGGAAAGUUCACACUGUGACGGUAUCUUACCAGAAAGGGACGGCUAACUACGUG